rnacentral:rRNA from 1 species
AUUGAACGCUGGCGGAAUGCUUUACACAUGCAAGUCGAACGAUGAACCUUAGCUUGCUAAGGGGAUUAGUGGCGAACGGGUGAGUAAUGUAUCGGAACGUAUCCAAUAAUGGGGGAUAACUAGUCGAAAGAUUAGCUAAUACCGCAUACGCCCUACGGGAGAAAGCUAGGGACCUUCGUGCCUGGCGUUAAUGGAGCGGCUGAUAUCUGAUUAGCUAGUUGGUGGGGUAAAGGCUCACCAAGGCGACGACCAGUAGCUGGUCUGAGAGGACGACCAGCCACACUGGAACUGAGACACGGUCCAGACUCCUACGGGAGGCAGCAGUGGGGAAUUUUGGACAAUGGGCGAAAGCCUGAUCCAGCCAUUCCGCGUGAGUGAAGAAGGCCUUCGGGUUGUAAAGCUCUUUCGCAAGAGAAGAAAACUUAAGCUCUAACAUAGCUUGAGGUUGACGGUACCUUGAUAAGAAGCACCGGCUAACUACGUGCCAGCCGCCGCCGUAA